rnacentral:rRNA from 1 species
UUUUUAUGGAGAGUUUGAUCCUGGCUCAGGAUGAACGCUGGCGGCGUGCCUAAUACAUGCAAGUCGAGCGAACAGAUGAGGAGCUUGCUCCUCUGACGUUAGCGGCGGACGGGUGAGUAACACGUGGAUAACCUACCUAUAAGACUGGGAUAACUUCGGGAAACCGGAGCUAAUACCGGAUAAUAUAUUGAACCGCAUGGUUCAAUAGUGAAAGACGGUUUUGCUGUCA